UGAGGAGCGAAAGGGUGGGGAGCAAACAGGCUUAGAUACCCUGGUAGUCCACCCCGUAAACGUUGGGAACUAGUUGUGGGGACCAUUCCACGGUUUCCGUGACGCAGCUAACGCAUUAAGUUCCCCGCCUGGGGAGUACGGCCGCAAGGCUAAAACUCAAAGGAAUUGACGGGGACCCGCACAAGCGGCGGAGCAUGCGGAUUAAUUCGAUGCAACGCGAAGAACCUUACCAAGGCUUGACAUAUACGAGAACGGGCCAGAAAUGGUCAACUCUUUGGACACUCGUAAACAGGUGGUGCAUGGUUGUCGUCAGCUCGUGUCGUGAGAUGUUGGGUUAAGUCCCGCAACGAGCGCAACCCUCGUUCUAUGUUGCCAGCACGUAAUGGUGGGAACUCAUGGGAUACUGCCGGGGUCAACUCGGAGGAAGGUGGGGAUGACGUCAAAUCAUCAUGCCCCUUAUGUCUUGGGCUUCACGCAUGCUACAAUGGCCGGUACAAAGGGCUGCAAUACCGUAAGGUGGAGCGAAUCCCAAAAAGCCGGUCCCAGUUCGGAUUGAGGUCUGCAACUCGACCUCAUGAAGUCGGAGUCGCUAGUAAUCGCAGAUCAGCAACGCUGCGGUGAAUACGUUCCCGGGUCUUGUACACACCGCCCGUCAAGUCAUGAAAGUCGGUAACACCUGAAGCCGGUGGCCCAACCCUUGUGGAGGGAGCCGUCGAAGGUGGGAUCGGUAAUUAGGACUAAGUC
rnacentral:rRNA from 1 species